rnacentral:rRNA from 1 species
UUNNNCUAAGUGUAAAGUUAACUUGGAGAAUAAGUGGUGGGUAAGACUGGUGCCAGCCGCCGCGGUAACACCAGCGCCACGAGUGGCAACCGCGUUUAUUGGGCCUAAAGCGUCCGUAGCCGGUCAAGUAAAUCUUUUGUGAAAUCGUCAAGCUCAACUUGACGGCGUGCUUAAGACACUGCUUGACUCGAGACCGGGAGGAGUCGGAAGUAUUCUGGGGGGAGCGGUAAAAUGUGAUAAUCCCUGGAAGACUAUCUAUGGCGAAGGCAUCCGACCAGAACGGAUCUGACGGUGAGGGACGAAGGCUAGGGGAGCGAUCCGGAUUAGAUACCCGAGUAGUCCUAGCAGUAAACGCUGUGAGCUAGAUGUUGCGCCUCUCAUGAGGAUGCGCAGUAUCGAAUCGAAGGAGUUAAGCUCAUCGCCUGGGAAGUACGGUCGCAAGACUGAAACUUUAAGGAAUUGGCGGGGGAGCACCACCAGGGGUGAGGCGUGCAGUUUAAUCUAACUCGACACAGAGAACCUUACUAGAGGCGACGGCAGGAAGAAGGUCAGUUGAAGGGCUUGCCUGACGAGCCGAGAGUAGUGCAUGGCCAGCGUCAGCUCGUGCCGUAAGGUGUCCAGUUAAGUCUGGCAACGAGCGAGACCUAUAUCUACUAUUGCUAGCGGCAAUUUAUUGGACCGAGCACUUUGUAGGGACUGCCUUGGAAACAAGGAGGAAGGUGUAGGCAACGCUAGGUCUGUAUGCUCCGAAUCCUCUAGGCUACACGCGCGCAACAAUGGUACUGACAAUGGGCUGCAACUCCGAAAGGAGAAGCUAAUCCUCGAAACGGUACCUCAGUUCGGAUUGCGGAUUGCAACUCAUCCGCAUGACGC